CUUUGAGUAAGUGAAAUGAAGCAUGAAUAACUGCCUAAUUAGUGGACAUGAAAACUGGACAGUCUCCAAAGUCAUCAGAGAUGACCACGCUUUCCAGGCAGCUUACUAGACUAAGGGUGACGUGCCCAUCAUGCAGGAAGCUUCUCCGAGGCUGGCAAGAGCAACUUGUCUGCUUUGAGAAAUGCAGAUCUAUCAGGAUCCAGAAUCGGACUCUGAAAAAGCUGUCAUUUCAUGUCUCUAAAACAGCCUUUGAUUUAAUGUACAAGAUGUCAAGAAGUAAAGGACAAUAAAAUAAAAACCAAAAAAGGAGAACUAUUUCAAUUAAGAAGCAUUUCUAUAUCAAUUCUUGGAAAUCACAUAAAAUAAAAGCUGUCAGAAUCAA
rnacentral:lncRNA from 1 species